rnacentral:rRNA from 1 species
GAUGAACGCUGGCGGCGUGCUUAACACAUGCAAGUCGAACGAAGAUGCCGGAGUGCUUGCACUUUGGCAGACUGAGUGGCGGACGGGUGAGUAACGCGUGGGUAACCUGCCUUAUACAGGGGGAUAACAGUUGGAAACGACUGCUAAUACCGCAUAAGCGCACGGUAUCGCAUGAUACAGUGUGAAAAACUCCGGUGGUAUAAGAUGGACCCGCGUCUGAUUAGCUAGUUGGUGAGGUAACGGCCCACCAAGGCGACGAUCAGUAGCCGGCCUGAGAGGGUGAACGGCCACAUUGGGACUGAGACACGGCCCAAACUCCUACGGGGAGGCAGCAGUGGGGAAUAUUGCACAAUGGGGAAACCCUGAUGCAGCGACGCCGCGUGAGUGAUGAAGUAUUUCGGUAUGUAAAGCUCUAUCAGCAGGAAGAAAAAAUGACGGUACCUGACUAAGAAGCCCGGCUAACUACGUG